rnacentral:rRNA from 1 species
GUACACGCUGUGACUAGCAUAUCAAUAAGCGGAGGAAAAGAAACUAACAAGGAUUCCCUCAGUAACGGCGAGUGAAGCGGGAAGAGCUCAAAUUUGAAAUCUUGCAAGGUUUACCUUUACGAAUUGUAGUUUAAAGAAGUGUUUUCUGUUACGAUCGUAAUAUAAGUUCUUUGGAAUAGGACAUCACAGAGGGUGAGAAUCCCGUCUAUGAUUGCGAUUUGUAGCUUUGUGAUACACUUUCAAAGAGUCGGGUUGUUUGGGAAUGCAGCCCAAAACGGGAGGUAAAUUUCUUCUAAGGCUAAAUAUUGGCGAGAGACCGAUAGCGAACAAGUACCGUGAGGGAAAGAUGAAAAGAACUUUGAAAAGAGAGUUAAAUAGUACGUGAAAUUGUCAAAAGGGAAGCGUUUAACACCAGUGUUGUUUUCUGAAAAUCAACCUCUGUUAGCUUUAUGCAUGUUUGUUUAGACCUAAUCAGCUAUCUUUCAUGUUCUAUUGUUUGCAGUGGUGCACUUCUCAGUUUACAGGUCAACAUCAGUUUUUUUUACCGUAAAAAAGUUAAAGAAAGGUAGCUCAUGGCUCCGGUCGUGAGUGUUAUAGUCUUUUUCCUAUGCGGUAGGAGAGACUGAGGUCUGCAGUGUAGGCUAUUUGGCUAGAUACUCAGGUGCUAUGUGAUACCAUUUCAUAAACAACUUGUUGAUUAUGUUUUGUCUAUUGCAUACUCGCUUGUACUAUCAUACCUACGCUUAGGAUGUUGAUUAGCGACAUACGCAC